ensembl:lncRNA
AUUUUGAAGUGGAAGUACUAUAAAAAAAGAACAUACUCUUGCCUCUCCUUCCAGAUCCUUUCUUAACUAUUAAAAGAGGGAUUUUUAAUAUUGAACUAGUAAAAUGUAGGAUGUAGUCACCUGUAGGAAUUAGUAGGAACAAUCUACCAAUUAUAACAGGUACAACAAUUUCAGUAUAAUUUUACCUGCUCUGAUCAUUGACUAUAUUUUUAGUGGCAUUUACAAGAUCCACAUAUCACUUGCUGGGCUGAUUAAACUUUGUUUCUAUAAUGUAGUUUUUCUUUUUUAUAUAUAAGCAGGUUCACACACAGGAACCACUCCAAAGCCUCUCUGAUUUUAUUGUUAAACAUUUGACAGAUUUAUCAAUGUUGUAUUCACAUUCCAGGUAUAAAUCCUGCUUUAAGGAUAAUUGUUUACAUUCUACUUUUCUGUAGUAGAAGCUGAACGUUUUUUAUAAAGUUUCUCUACUUCACUUUUGUUUGUCCAUUAAUUUUGUAGAAUCUAAAUUCACUUGGGUGUUAUGAUUUAUAUUACCCAUGGGUCUCAUUAAAGGGGACUUAUCAGAAUCAAAUGUUUGCCUGUCUCAGAGUCCUGCUAAGGACUUUCACUGAGAGAGUUUCACAAAUUUGAAAAUAUCUAAAAGUGCAACAGAUAUAACGGAUUUGGAAUUGCUGUUGAUAAAUAGACUUACUGCAAUAGCACUAAUAUAUGAUAAUAGUGCUAGCAAAAUGCUAUCCUGGGUAUUCCUCACCAAAAGAUAAAGGUGCAGAGUUUACCAAGAAGGCCUCCCUGUCUUGGUGGAGGAGAAAGGAGCACAGCCCAUUACUGACUGCCUCACUCUAACACUUUUUCCUAAUACUACCUCCUAACACUAACUCUUCUUUUACAUCCUAACCUUAUCUGUACCCCCCCUGAGGUGACAUUUAGCAUGAUAUGGGUGGAGUCAAGUACUAUAGUCAUAUAUGUUUAAUGUGUACUUCAUAAAACUCAUUAUUAUAUCCAAGGUUGUUAACUUUAAUAUUCAUUUUACAAAUAAUCAAGCAAAAGGUUUCAUUCUGGGCACCUGCCUUCAAGAUUCUGUUCUGCUGCCAAAACAGGGACGUCCCACAACUGCAAGACUCCCUCACUCAGCAGCCUCUCCAACCAAGCCCGUAGACCUCCAUCCACAAAGUUUGUAUAAGAGGCUUUCACAGAAGGCAACAAGCUACAAAAUGUAUGUCACGUGCAACAAGAGGUAUAAAUGACAAAAGCAAGACAAACAAAAGCACCCGAACCAGUGGAAUAAACAAAAGUAUCUACAUAGAGUGGGCAAGUAUCCAAAAACUGAAAAAUCCAUCUGUCCGUUUUUAAGAAAUGGCUAGAGAUUGUCAUUGCUUUGGGAGAUAAUUGUUUUGAUCUUAAAUGGAAAAAAAAUGGGAAAGCUCCAUGUGUGUAAUGGAAAAAUUGCCUCUGAAACCCAAAGAAUCGCUACAGCUGCUAAUCACGUAACACCCACUACCACAUUGUGAGCUCUCUUGAAACAGUGCAACUUAUUUUCUAGAAAGGUAUUCAGAUUUAUAGCACAACCAUUCUUAAAGGAAAAGAAACUGCAGAUGGAGGCUAUUUCCAGAAGCAAGCAGUGAUUUUUGAUCAAUAUGAGCCAUUGGAGAGGUUCCCAUCUUAGAAUAGUGAACACCUGCUUUCUGAAAAUCACAUAUCCAGCUGAGUAUCAAACAGGAAGCUGCAAAGGAAUGUGAGUAGAGUCAUACAGGAUCACGUCAAAUAUCUAGAAUUACCAAUUCUUAAAAACCUUACCCUAACUGGUGUUUUAUUGGUAUUCAUAGUAAUACCAAUAAAAUAUAAAAAGUGUUUCUUCUUCCA